UACGUAGGCAGCAAGCGUUGUUCGGAAUUACUAGGCGUAAAGAGUGUGUAGGCGGUGCUCCAAGUCUGGUGUGAAAUCUCCCGGCUUAACUGGGAGGGUGCAUUAGAAACUGGAAUGCUAGAGGAUGGGAGAGGUAAGCGGAAUUCCUGGUGUAGCGGUGAAAUGCGUAGAUAUCAGGAGGAACACCUGUGGUGUAGACAGCUUACUGGACCAUUUCUGACGCUGAGACACGAAAGCGUGGGUAGCAAGCAGG
rnacentral:rRNA from 1 species